rnacentral:rRNA from 1 species
UACGUAGGGUGCAAGCGUUAUCCGGAAUUAUUGGGCGUAAAGAGCUCGUAGGCGGUUUGUCGCGUCUGCUGUGAAAACUGGAGGCUCAACCUCCAGCCUGCAGUGGGUACGGGCAGACUAGAGUGCGGUAGGGGAGAUUGGAAUUCCUGGUGUAGCGGUGGAAUGCGCAGAUAUCAGGAGGAACACCGGUGGCGAAGGCGGGUCCCUGGGCCGAUACUGACGCUGAGGAGCGAAAGCGUGGGGAGCGAACAGG